AUUAUCUAGACCUUCACAUGAAAAGUUUAACUCUCUAACUGCUCUCUCAUUUAAUGUAAAAGAGUCACCUUAUUUUCAUAAUCACCCUGUUUAUGGACUAAGUUUGUAUCCCUCCAGAGCUCAUGCCCUUGAAGGCCUGCCUCCCCACAUCAUGGUGUUGGAUGGGGAUGAAGCCUUUGGGAUACAAUGCUGUUUAGAUGAGGUCAUGAUGCCGUUGGGGUUCUGAUAAAAUGAAGACGCCAAAGAGCUUUCUCUACUUGAAGGUUGGGACACAGCCAAAUGGUGGCUCUCCUGAAGCCAGGAUGAAGGUCAGGACCAGAAAACUCGUCUGUAGUCACGUAAUCCCCAGUGUUCCCAGCUUCAGGACCCAGAAGACCAAACACUCCCUCGGUCACCCAGUCUGACAUUGUGUCACAUCCUACAGCCUGAGCAGACCUAACACACCGAGGAAGGAAGGUACAGGUGGCUCCUGAGGGGUGACCGUAGUUCUGAGGGAUAAUCUGAUUUACAUUUUUUUUUCAACUUCAAAGUUGUGCGAAAGCUACACGGAUCUCAUACAAACUACAUGUUGAGCUUUGAUCAUCUCCGAGCCUGACCCCAAUGACAAGUGAUCUUUCCUAAUGCUGGGUAGCAGGGGCCCAAGCUACAGCCAUAGCACACAAGCUGCAGCCAUAGCUCAGCCCCAGGAUCCCAAGAGGGGAAAACCAAAUGUUCACCCGUGUUCCACGGCACCUAGCCUGGACACUGGGUCAGCGAAGUGUAUUAAAUGCAUCUUUUGACUUCAUGCUAUUUUCAACUUAUGCUUGUCCACUGAAAAUACUGAGAAACAAACAACCCAGGGACCAUGAGCACUAAGCAUUUGCUACUAAGAAGAAUUGGGGGUCCUUAGCGACAUGGCUUCUUCCAGAUCCAGGACAGACCACAGAAGCUUGGAGUUUCCUUGCUAUUUGGAUGACAGCAAAGAUUGAUGCGGUUAUAUCAGAAGGAAUCAACUGGCUAAACAUGGUUAAAAACUCAUGCGUCAAUAAAAAAAAAUCAGUAAAAUAGAUCAUAAAAC
rnacentral:lncRNA from 1 species